rnacentral:lncRNA from 1 species
GAAAGACGAAGACGUGAGGAAGGCUUCUUUUACUCAUCACAAGUCACCCUGUAAGAGCAGAUUAAGCACUGGCUUUAA